UACGAAGGGGGCUAGCGUUGUCCGGAAUCAUUGGGCGUAAAGAGCGUGUAGGCGGCCACUUAAGUCCUGCGUGAAAUCUUGCGGCUCAACCGCAAGCGGUCGUGGGAAACUGGGUGGCUAGAGUGCGGGAGAGGAGAGUGGAAUUCCUGGUGUAGCGGUGAAAUGCGCAGAUAUCAGGAGGAACACCGAUGGCGAAGGCAGGUCUCUGGGCAUUAACUGACGCUGAGGAGCGAAAGCAUGGGGAGCGAACAGG
rnacentral:rRNA from 1 species